UAGGGAAUCUUCCACAAUGGACGCAAGUCUGAUGGAGCAACGCCGCGUGAGUGAAGAAGGUUUUCGGACCGUAAAGCUCUGUUGUUGGUGAAGAAGGAUAGAGGUAGUAACUGGCCUUUAUUUGACGGUAAUCAACCAGAAAGUCACGGCUAACUACGUGCCAGCAGCCGCGGUAAAUCGUAGGUGGCAAGCGUUGUCCGGAUUUAUUGGGCGUAAAGCGAGCGCAGGCGGAAGAAUAAGUCUGAUGUGAAAGCCCUCGGCUUAACCGAGGAAUUGCAUCGGAAACUGUUUUCUUGAGUGCAGAAGAGGAGAGUAGAACUCCAUGUGCAGCGGUGGAAUGCGUAGAUAUAUGGAAGAAUACCAGUGGCGAAGGCGGCUCUCUGGUCUGCAACUGACGCUGAGGCUCGAAAGCAUGGGUAGCGAACAGGAUUAGAUACCCUGGUAGUCCAUGCCGU
rnacentral:rRNA from 1 species